GUAGGUGAACCUGCGGAAGGAUCAUUAUCGUGGGGAUUCGUCCCUGUCGAGAUAGCACCCUUUGUCUAUGAGCACCUUCUGUUUCCUCGGCGGGCUUGCCCGCCAACGGGGACCACACAAACCCUUUGCAGUAGCAGUAACUUCUGAAAACAAACAAAUAUUAAAACUUUCAACAACGGAUCUCUUGGUUCUGGCAUCGAUGAAGAACGCAGCAUCUGACUGACUGAACUGUAUCUCAUCUCGUAUGCCG
rnacentral:misc_RNA from 1 species